GGGAACUUUAAGGAUACUGCCAGUGCCAAACUGGAGGAAGGCGGGGACGACGUCAAGUCAUCAUGGCCCUUACGGCCAGGGCUACACACGUGCUACAAUGGUCGGUACAAAGGGUUGCUACCUAGCGAUAGGAUGCUAAUCUCAAAAAGCCGAUCGUAGUCCGGAUUGGAGUCUGCAACUCGACUCCAUGAAGUCGGAAUCGCUAGUAAUCGCGGAUCAGAAUGCCGCGGUGAAUACGUUCCCG
rnacentral:rRNA from 1 species